UACCAGCACCCCGAGUGGUCGGACGUUUAUUGGGCCUAAAGCAUCCGUAGCCGGUUCUACAAGUCUUCCGUUAAAUCCAACUGCUUAACAGGUGGGCUGCGGAAGAUACUAUAGAGCUAGGAGGCGGGAGAGGCAAGCGGUACUCGAUGGGUAGGGGUAAAAUCCGUUGAUCCAUUGAAGACCACCAGUGGCGAAGGCGGCUUGCCAGAACGCGCUCGACGGUGAGGGAUGAAAGCUGGGGGAG
rnacentral:rRNA from 1 species